rnacentral:rRNA from 1 species
UGGGGAAUUUUGCGCAAUGGGCGAAAGCCUGACGCAGCAACGCCGCGUGCGGGACGAAGGCCUUCGGGUUGUAAACCGCUUUCAGCAGGGACGAAACUGACUGUACCUGCAGAAGAAGCUCCGGCUAACUACGUGCCAGCAGCCGCGGUAAUACGUAGGGAGCAAGCGUUAUCCGGAUUUAUUGGGCGUAAAGCGCGCGUAGGCGGCUUGUUAAGUCAGGUGUGAAAGCCGGGGGCUCAACCCGCGGAUUGCAUCUGAAACUGGCAGGCUUGAGUGUGGUAGAGGAAAGUGGAAUUCCCGGUGUAGCGGUGAAAUGCGCAGAUAUCGGGAGGAACACCAGUGGCGAAGGCGGCUUUCUGGGCCACCACUGACGCUGAGGCGCGAAAGCUAGGGGAGCGAACA